rnacentral:rRNA from 1 species
ACCCCCUCCUCACCAGCUAGCCCACCCCAAAACACAACAACCCCCAUUAAUAACCCCAAACACCAUAGCAACCCACAAAUAAAACAUUUUUCCCCCUGAGUA